UACGUAGGGUGCGAGCGUUGUCCGGAAUUAUUGGGCGUAAAGAGCUCGUAGGCGGUUUGUCGCGUCGACUGUGAAAACCUGGGGCUUAACUCUGGGCCUGCAGUCGAUACGGGCGGGCUAGAGUUCGGUAGGGGAGACUGGAAUUCCUGGUGUAGCGGUGAAAUGCGCAGAUAUCAGGAGGAACACCGGUGGCGAAGGCGGGUCUCUGGGCCGAUACUGACGCUGAGGCGCGAAAGCCAGGGGAGCGAACGGG
rnacentral:rRNA from 1 species